UCUUCGGAUUUAGAGACCGGCGCACGGGUGCGUAACGCGUAUGCAAUCUACCUUUUACAGAGGGAUAGCCCAGAGAAAUUUGGAUUAAUACCUCAUAGCAUAGCAGCUUCGCAUGAAGCCACUAUUAAAGUCACAACGGUAAAAGAUGAGCAUGCGUCCCAUUAGCUAGUUGGUAAGGUAACGGCUUACCAAGGCUACGAUGGGUAGGGGUCCUGAGAGGGAGAUCCCCCACACUGGUACUGAGACACGGACCAGACUCCUACGGGAGGCAGCAGUGAGGAAUAUUGGACAAUGGGCGCAAGCCUGAUCCAGCCAUGCCGCGUGCAGGAUGACGGUCCUAUGGAUUGUAAACUGCUUUUAUACGAGAAGAAACACUCCUUCGUGAAGGAGCUUGACGGUAUCGUAAGAAUAAGGAUCGGCUAACUCCGUGCCAGCAGCCGCGGUAAUACGGAGGAUCCAAGCGUUAUCCGGAAUCAUUGGGUUUAAAGGGUCCGUAGGCGGUUUGGUAAGUCAGUGGUGAAAGCCCAUCGCUCAACGGUGGAACGG
rnacentral:rRNA from 1 species